CCUACGGGUGGCAGCAGUGAGGAAUAUUGGUCAAUGGGCGCGAGCCUGAACCAGCCAAGUAGCGUGAAGGAUGACUGCCCUACGGGUUGUAAACUUCUUUUAUAAAGGAAUAAAGUGAGGCACGUGUGCCUUUUUGUAUGUACUUUAUGAAUACGGAUCGGCUCACUCCGUGCCAGCAGCAGCGGUAAUACGGGGGAUCCGAGCGUUUUCCGGUGUUAUUGGGUUUAAGGGGUGCGUAGGCGGACGGUUAAGUCACCGGUAAAAGCCCGGGGCUAAACCCCGGCGAGCCGUUGAAACUGGCUGUCUUGAGAUGUCGAGAGGUAUGCGGAAUGCGCAGUGUAGCGGUGAAAUGCUUAGAUAUUGCGCAGAACUCCGAUUGCGAAGGCAGCAUACCGGCGGCGAUCUGACGCUGAGGCACGAAAGCGUGGGUAUCGAACAGGAUUAGAUACCCGGGUAGUC
rnacentral:rRNA from 1 species